UACGUAGGGCGCAAGCGUUGUCCGGAAUUAUUGGGCGUAAAGAGCUCGUAGGCGGUUUGUCGCGUCUGCUGUGAAAACCUGAGGCUCAACCUCGGGCUUGCAGUGGGUACGGGCAGACUAGAGUGCGGUAGGGGUGACUGGAAUUCCUGGUGUAGCGGUGGAAUGCGCAGAUAUCAGGAGGAACACCGAUGGCGAAGGCAGGUCACUGGGCCGCAACUGACGCUG
rnacentral:rRNA from 1 species